rnacentral:rRNA from 1 species
GGGAUUGGGGGGAGGGAGGGUGGUGUUUGGGGCGGGGCGGUGGUACCGGCUGCUGGGGCGGAGGCGGCGCGGGAGGAGGCGGCUGGUUCUGCUCCUCCCGUGGCUAUCGCUGCGGAGGUUGCUGAGGGUGGGUGGGCGACGGGUCCUCCGGGGCGGAGGUGGGAAGGGGCUGUGGAGCCGGGGGCGGAAGGGGCUUGGCCGGCCAGGUCAAGGCGGCGUCCCCCGCUCACGGCGCCGCCGCCGCCUCCUGAGCGCCGCCGACAAGGUCGCCGACACCUGCCUGCUCCUCCUCGACGAGUAGGACGCGCCCAAGGAGCUGAAGUGCAGCGCGGCCCCGUGGCGGAAGCGGAGGGUGGUCAUGCUGUGCCCCGGGAAGAUGCUCCUCUAGGCGGCCUUCGAGAGGAAGCUGAAGAGGUUCUUGGUCGAGUAGCUCUUCGACGCGGCGGAGUUCUUCUUCAUGGCGCAGACGCGGUGGGCGUACCGGCGCGUCCCGCGGCGGAAGCGGAAGUUCUCGCGCGUGCUCCCGCGGUAGAUGCUGCAGCGCGCGGUGUAGACCGCGGGCCGGAAGUUCGCGCUGCCGCGGCCCCCGCUGCGGAGCCUGCUCCUGCUGUAGUUGGGGCGUCUUCGUCGCCGUCAGCGUCGUCGACGACGACGGCGGUGGCGGCGGCGCCGACGGCGGUGCCUCUAUGGACGACGACAGCUCCUCCCACCACCGCCUCCGCGCAGACGCGUGUGGGGAGCCCCGUCCCCGAGCGCCGCACCACCUUCCUUCUCCUACCGCGUCCUCUAACUCCGCGGGUGUAAGGGACGUUGCGGACGAGGCUACAACUGGCUACGCCGAGUCCUCGUUCGAUAACGCCGCAAGCUCUCAAGGCACGGCCACUAACGUGUCGGUGGGAGUCACGGCCGUCGCGGUAACGGAGGAAUAGGCGACUGUCGGUUACCGGGGUGACUUCGACUACAGGCCUCGUAGGACAGUGGCGACGACUUCCUCGAGUAGUCGAGCCAACGACAAGGUCCCGUCUGGCCUGAUCCUAACCCGAACCCGUACCCUAAGCCCCCACGACUAUAAGAACCGCAACCAGAACCCCACCGGCCUGACUCGGGAGCCCACGGGCCACUACUCUUCACCUCCGUCGUCGUCUAAGAACUCGACCUCCAGAUGGAGUUCUCCGAGCUCGAACAGGCCCUCGUCCAGUACUGCCACGAUGUUCUUGAGUCCAGUAGUCUUUCGACUAAUGGAGUAUAACACGACAUUUUAAGAGGCUAAGCCUCCAUUGUAAAAAGAGAUUUCUCAUCACUCAUAAACAAAUGACAGUUACGCCGUAACCUUUUCCGUAUGUGUGUCACAACCACCACAAGAAGAGUAAUAUCCGAACCGGUGAACCCAGCGAAUCAACGUACAUGACCAACAGUAGUAUUCCAAUCUCUACUUGAAACUAGACAUCUACCCUACUACUAGUUUCAAACACUAGUGAACAUCGAGUGAAAUACGAGACUACGCUAUAUUCUUUACGUCACUUACCAAAACUUAGACCUCUAAAUACCGGACGUUCAGCAUUAAGAUGUAAACAUUACUGG